GUCCAAGUGUGCUGCUAGCUAAAAUGAUGAUGUAGUUGUUGAAGUGGCUAUUUAAAGAGAGGAAAAAAUUUUACAACUAUUCUUCAGAAAUAAAAUUAUGUACUCGUGUUGAAGAAGAUUUUGGUAGGAAAAAUAUUUCAACUCUUUAUUCAAUCACCAAAGGGAAAUUGAUAAUCUAUAGCAAGCUAUUCAAGCCUAUAUUCAAGGUUUGGACAGAUGUCUUGAUCGGCCUUUGCCAUAGGGGUGUUGUCUCAGCUGAGGAUUGAGGAGUACAAAGCUUCAAGAUCUACCAGUGGUGUCUUAUGACCUUUAACAAUAUUUUGAUUUAUUUUUUUAAGAACUUGUAUUGUAAAUGUUAUGUGUGGACCAUCUUAAAAGAAAAUAUUUGCUGU